CCUUCCUCAAAAAAAAAACAACAAAACACCCCAAAACCCCCCUAAAAAAACCCGGGAAAACACCGAGUUCCUCCCUUUCCCCACGGCCUGACCCGGGGCUGGUGUGUGUGUCCCCCCUGCUCCUUGGGGGGGAACCCCGACCCCCCCCCUCAGCCGGUUCCCACUGCGAUAAACUGUCCCCCCAAAAAAAAACCCACCAACCAACCCCCAACAAACCCUGCAGGAGGGAUCCAAACAUCCCAGACCUUUCCCGCUGCCCCCGGGGUGGGCGAGGAGGUUGGAGGGCUUGGAAAGAUGGAGGGAAAAAGUAUCAUCUGGCCUCAAAAAGCAGGAAGAAAUAUCCCCCCCCCCCCGUUUUCCUGCCUGGACACCCCAAAGGAGCCUGUUCCAACCCACACCCCUCGAGUUUCCACCCCCCCCCGGCUCGGGGAGGUGGGGGGGGGUGGUGAUUUUGGGGUGUAAAAGCAGGAUCUUGCCAGGCGGGCUCGAAAAUGGAGGAGCCUGGUUGUGCAACGCGGUCCCAUCCUCCCUCCCCGCUGCUGCUCCCGCCUCUGCCUGGGUUCAAACUGCAGAAAUCCCCCCCCAUUUCCAAGCUUGGGAACGGGGUGCAUCCCCAGGAAACAAAGUUCUGUCUUAUAGGCUUUAAAAAACGCUCAGAACGAGGAGGAAGAAGGUUUGGGGUGCCCUGAGCUCCCCCCACCCCGGGCGUGGGGCAGGUUGCAAAAUCCAGCUGGGAAGCAGGAGUUGGUGGGAAUGGCCUGGAGCUGCUGGGUGCUGUGGGUAAACAAGCUGUUCCCAGGCUGGGGGGAGCAGCCCCUCCCCUCCUGUGCCCAUCCCUGCCAUGCCCAGAGGACUUCUCUGCUUCGUUACGCCCUGGGUUAACGAGGAGCCUCAUUAUUUGGGCAGUAGGAGACACAACAGCCCUCAUCCGUGCCAGGGAGUGCUCAGGGGCUCUUUAAUCACUGGAUUAUUAAACGUAAGCUUGUCCUUUUGA